UAGAGUUUGAUCCUGGCUCAGAUUGAACGCUGGCGGCAGGCCUAACACAUGCAAGUCGAGCGGUAGAGAGAAGCUUGCUUCUCUUGAGAGCGGCGGACGGGUGAGUAAUGCCUAGGAAUCUGCCUGGUAGUGGGGGAUAACGUUCGGAAACGGACGCUAAUACCGCAUACGUCCUACGGGAGAAAGCAGGGGACCUUCGGGCCUUGCGCUAUCAGAUGAGCCUAGGUCGGAUUAGCUAGUUGGUGGGGUAAUGGCUCACCAAGGCGACGAUCCGUAACUGGUCUGAGAGGAUGAUCAGUCACACUGGAACUGAGACACGGUCCAGACUCCUACGGGAGGCAGCAGUGGGGAAUAUUGGACAAUGGGCGAAAGCCUGAUCCAGCCAUGCCGCGUGUGUGAAGAAGGUCUUCGGAUUGUAAAGCGCUUUAAGUUGGGAGGAAGGGUUGUAGAUUAAUACUCUGCAAUUUUGACGUUACCGACAGAAUAAGCACCGGCUAACUCUGUGCCAGCAGCCGCGGUAAUACAGAGGGUGCAAGCGUUAAUCGGAAUUACUGGGCGUAAAGCGCGCGUAGGUGGUUUGUUAAGUUGGAUGUGAAAUCCCCGGGCUCAACCUGGGAACUGCAUUCAAAACUGACUGACUAGAGUAUGGUAGAGGGUGGUGGAAUUUCCUGUGUAGCGGUGAAAUGCGUAGAUAUAGGAAGGAACCACCCAGUGGCGAAGGCGACCACCCUGGACUGAUACGACCCU
rnacentral:rRNA from 1 species